ensembl:rRNA 5S_rRNA 5S ribosomal RNA
GGCUGCAGCCAUAUCACCCUGCAGCUCUCAACUGGCUACCCACUGAAGCUCAGCAGGGUUGAGCCUGGUCAGUACCUGGAUGUGAGACCUCCUGGGAAGCUAUGGUUGCUGCUGGAA